CGCCUUGCCAGCCCGCUCAGAAACUCAAAGGAAUUGACGGGGCCCGCCACAAGCGGAGGAACGAUUGUGGUUUAAUUCGAUGAUACGCGAGGAACCUUACCUGGGCUUAAAUGGGGAGUGACAGCUGUCGAAAGAUGGUUUUCUUCGGACACUCUUCAAGGUGCUGCAUGGUUGUCGUCAGCUCGUGCCGUGAGGUGUCGGGUUAAGUCCCAUAACGAGCGCAACCCUUACCGUUAGUUACCAUCAGGUUAAGCUGGGGACUCUAGCGGGACUGCCACCGUAAGGUGAGAGGAAGGUGGGGAUGACGUCAAAUCAGCACGGCCCUUAUGUCCAGGGCUACACACGUGUUACAAUGGCCGGUACAAAGGGCAGCUACUUCGCGAGAAGAUGCUAAUCUCGAAAGCCGGUCUCAGUUCGGAUCGAAGUCUGCAACCCGACUUCGUGAAGCUGGAUUCGCUAGUAAUCGCGCAUCAGCCAUGGCGCGGUGAAUACGUUCCCGGGCCUU
rnacentral:rRNA from 1 species